rnacentral:lncRNA from 1 species
AAUAUUAUUCAUGUUCUUUUGGUAAACUCUGCGUCUAGCGUCCGGCGUCUCUAAAAACUCUGUAUUUCCAUUGAUUUUAAAGCAAGAAUGCAUAGAAACCAGUCAGCCGGUGUUAAUUAUAAGAGACGCAGCGUUUGAUUUCCGAUGAUAAUUGAUCGCUAAAAAUUCCAGCGGCAGUUACGACUCACAGCGGCAAUGUUUUUACUGUUACGACGAGAGUUUUUAUGUCGACAUCAUUUUCUGCGUCAGUUUUACACAAAGCAGUUGAUGUGAUUAUUUUGAGUCGUGACGCUAGACGCAGCGCG